rnacentral:tRNA from 1 species
GGGCGGUUGGCUCAGUUGGUAGAGCGCUUCCGUGACAUGGAAGAGGUCACAGGUUCGAUCCCUGUACCGCCCA